GUCAGCUUGGGUAUGGAGACCUAAACCUACUCAUGGCCCUUUGGUUCUGAAGUGAGACUUGGUUGCACCAGAAAAAUGAGUAGAGACUAGCAGACAGAAUGAAGGAUCUCACAGCACAGGAACAGAGAGGCUCCUGCGGAGUUUCGCUCAAGGUACCAACCAGCAGGGCGGAAGGCUGUGAGCCCCAGCACCUUCCCCAGUGCUCAAAUCACAGCUGGACACAUCCUUCCCCAACUUCUGUUCUCCUUUUGCAAAUGCUGUUGAUAGAACCUAGGGCCUCCCGCUGGCUAGCCAGCCAGCAGCCCUCACCACGAAGGUGGAGCUGUUUCAGCAGGAAGAUCUACUCCGGACCCAGGCAGACUCCACAGCAGACCAUCUGGAAGGUUUUCCAGUUUCUUAAUGCAAAUUAAGAGUCCUCAUCAUUUUCCAAAAGGAAUCUUCGGCAGAUAAACUGGGCAGUGUUCUCUACGAAAGAAAACACAAAAAGGACAGUUGGAAGGAAUUCAAAAGAAAAGAACCCGUGGUGCAAUCAAAUCCCAGCCAGCAUCACUGGGGCUUCUCUUGCUGAUAAAAUGGCCAAGAGUUAUCAGAAACCGGAAGUUUCAGAAAGCUCAGCGGCAGCAGGUUGUCAGGGCUGCCAAGGAAGAAAAAACAAAAUACUAAGCAGGCAUCAAAGAAGACAGCCAUGGCUGUUGCUAAGGCCCCCAUGAGAGCAGCACCUAAACAAGAUAGUAAAGCCUGUGAAGGUCUCUCCGGGUCGGUAGAAAACAUUCAUUUGGUAGAUGAGAAUUUAAAAUAAAGAUCCAUCUGUAACUCUUCCUCAAUAUGAGAGCAAUUGAGGAAGACACUCCAUGUUGACCUCUGCCCUCCAUAUGUACACACACAUGCAUACACACCCAUGCACACACCCUAAGAAACACACACACACACACACACACACACACACACACACACACCAUACAUACAUGCAUGCAUACUAUUUUUUAAAUUUAGAGACAAAUUAAAAAAAAGUUUCCAUUGGGGAUGAUGACAAUAUUGUACAGAUGGAGAAUGGUGUUAAAGUCCUUAAUACCCCUGAAUUGUACAGUUAGAUUGUUACAAUGGUAAGCUUUGAUGUUAUACUGUUUAUCAUAUAAAAUAAUGCUGAAAGACUAACUUGGUUCACAUUCAGAGCAUUCUCACCCAGGUGUCUAGACCACCAGUCCUCAUGUAGUUCUUUCAAAUCCUCACAAAACCAGUAACAAAAUAAUGAACUUAUUAAAUAUUUGUUAUUUCCUAUGCA